rnacentral:lncRNA from 1 species
UGAGUUUGUUACGUGGUUCAGAGAACCGAGUUCGAUGUAGCAUUUGACUUAAGUCAGAAGAUUGAAAUGCUACAUGCUAAAAUGUGAUCAUAUCACAUUAGAAUAUGAAGGAAGGUAUAUUACAUUUUGGAGUUUAACUCUAAGAGACUUGAGUCAAAGCGUUGCAUCAUACGAUGAGAGGUCAUUAGAACAUGACCCAUCAAUCUGUCACAAUAGAUAAGGGGAAGUACUUAUCCUAAGAAGAAAAAGGAGUCCUCAAAAAGGAUUUAUUUUGUAACUCGAAGGUUACGAUUGAAAGUCCAACAUAGUACAAAGAGCAGAUGCAGGAUUGAGCAUCAAGUUUAUUACAUAGGAUGGAGAGAUAACUUAUGGAGUCGGUAUACGAAUCCUAUUUCGUUGAUGAUUCCGGGACGUAAUCAUCCUAAGGGGGAGAUAAUUGUAACGCUCGUAGAUCAGGGCUAGUCAAUUUAGAGACAAUAAGCAUCAAAAAUGACUUUUUGAUGGAAGAUUAUUUAGAAGGAUUAAUCUUAACCAAGUUGUAGUAUAUGUCACAAGGUUUCCGUGCAUAUAAAGAACGCCAAAAUCCGAGUUAUAACGAAGAAGUUAUGACCUGUCGAAGUUUCGCGACAGAACCGGCACGACCUAGUGCGACCCAACGCGACGUAAAUAGUGAUCUUAAGGUAGAUAGAUAUCUAUCCUUUGUGAUUUAAAUGAGAAUUGAAGAUCUCAUCGAUAGUAGUUCAACGACGGAAAGACGGACGAAAACGGACGUCAGACGAAGGAGUUAUGAGUUUAUAACGGAGUUUUCCUGUCCCAGCCUACUAAAAAUAAUAUAUACGUAAUAUAAUUAUAAUAUAUUAAAAAUAAAUUCAAAAUUAGCCAAUGGAUUCUAAACGAGAGUUGUAGAGCAUAAUCUCACCUUCGCGGCGAUAUAAAGAACGUCGAAAACGGAGUUCGUAUGCGAAAGUUAUGAAUUUCUGAAGUUCGGGGCGCGAAACCCCAAAACUGUCAGAUACCACGACGUGGCAAGCAGUGCCACGACGUGGCCAGACUUCUGACACCUCCGAGAGUCCCCCAGAUGCAACUUGCGAUGACGCAUGCAAUGAAGACCAAGCCCACAACGUGGAAAAAGGUCGCCACAACGUGGCAAGGGCCAAUUUUGCCCUCUAAAUAGAUUUGAAGGGACAGCCGUUUAGGGUUGCUAUUUUCUAUCCUCUCUCUCCUUCUCUCCCGUUUUACCUCGAUUUACAUGCAAGAAAUAUCACGAAGCCCCAGUAUCAACCCCGAGACCCGAAGCGAGUCCCUAAGCCCCGAAGAUCCCGAGAAGAAAAGAGUUUCCGAGCCGAAGCUCUGCCCGCGAGAAACCCGGUGUGUGAAGAUAUCCCGGUUUCACCGAAGGCUACUACUUAUACAAGCCGCAGUGCUGUCCAAUUAUCUUCUGAUCAAGUUAGUGUAUAGUCCCUUUCAUAACACGAUUUUAAUACAAGUAUUGUGUGAAUGUAUGAAGUAUAUGUUUUGGGUGAGUGUGUAGUUACCUUCUUUUAACACAUAAAUAUUAAGUAUUUGCUAUGAAAUAUGUGUUAUGUGUAUAAUAUAAAGGUUUGUAUAUGCGUGAGUGUAUAGUCACUUUCAUCUUACACAUAGAUAUGAAGUAUUUUAUAAAAUACGUGCUAUGUGUAUAUAUAUUGUUGUUUAUAUGUGUGAGUGUGUGGUCACUUUCUUCUAACACAUAAAUAUUAAGUAUUUGCUAUGAAAUACGUGCUAUGUGUUUAUACAUUGUUUGCUUAUUUGAGAUGAGUGUGGAAUGAAUGUUUUAUAUAGUUUUUAAAUGAGUUAAACUGUAUAUGUAUUUUAUAUCUACAAAAAUAUUGGGUAGAAUAUGGGUAGAUAAAUGAUGAGGUAUGAAAGAUGAUACAGGUAAAUAUUGGUAGUUGCGCCUAAUAGAGAACAUCAUAAUAUCGGUAGCUGCGCCCAAUUAGAGUACGUCAUAAUACUAGCAGAUGCACUUAUAGGAUAAUACUAGCAGAUGCGCUUAAGAAUAAUAUUGGUAGAUGCACCAUUUGGAGUAUGUCAUAAUACUAAAAGAUGCGCUUAUAGGAUAAUACUAACAGAUACGCUUAAGAAUAAUAUUGGUAGAUGCACCAAUUAGAGAAUGUCAUAAUACUAGCAGAUGCGCUUAUAGGAUAAUACUGGUAGAUUCGCUUAAAGGAUGAUGUUGGUAGAUGCGCCUUAUGUAGCAAUAGAUUUUGUGCCAAUUCCUUAGGUCAAUCCUUAGGAAUGAAUGAAUGGCAGGUAGUUGAAUUCUUAGGGUAAAAUCCUAAGAAAUAAAGAAGAUAAUAGGGAUGGGUAAUUGGNUUGAUUGUUUGAUAAUUAAAUAUUAUAAUUAUAUUAUUGUGGGUUGAAAACCCUAUAUGCUCACCAGCCUCCCAAGCCCGACCCACUCAGUUUAAUUGUAUCACAGGUAUCAAUACGAAGUUGGUUUGCACUGAGAGAUUAAAGGAGAUGUAAAUCACUAGAGUAAAUGAAUGUAUGUUCUGUUUAUGCUUAUGUGUCUGUAUCGGAACAUGACAUCUCGAGGUUUUAUUAUUUAAUGAAAAUACAUUAUCUUUGAGAAAUGUUUUAAUAAGUUUUAAUCAUAUCUUGUUUUGAGAACAAAUUCCGCAACCGUUUUCUUUAAAAUAUUACUCUGAUUUUAUAAAACAAAGCAUAAACAAAUCGGUCUGUUCUGGCCAUGAAAAUGGGGAUGUCACAAAUGGUGAUUGACAAUUCGCUUUGGAUUGAAAGAACAUCAAAGAAUUGAUUUUUGUAUCGACGAUUUCUAUGUCGACGAUAUUGGAGUCGAUAGCCUCAUUUAACGAUAUUGGAAAAGUGAGGAAAAAGCGAAGGUUUUUGGAGUUGUUGAACGAAGGAUGUUUUGAUUUUGGGAUAGUGUUUGAAGAACGAAUGUUUGGAUUUCGUUAAUCCAUUGAUAUGCAAAUUUUCCGUUAAUAUGGUGAUGAUGAUUCGCGACUGAAACUAACGAAAGUUUCUAAUUUUCGACAUUUCAAGCAAAAAAGUUUCGUUAAAAUGAAGGCAGUGCAUUCGCGCUUCGUUGUCCAGUAUACAUACUUUGUUAACGAAGUUUCGAAGGUUAAAAGCUAAGGGUUGCCCACUAAAAAGCGAAGCGUGUAAGAUGUAACAGGCGAAUUCGUUACCUGCUUAACGAAUUGGGAAGAAUUAGGGGUGACAAUUGAUGACACGACACGACAAAAAUAAACAACACGAAACGAAAUUGGGACGAAACUAAAAUUCAAAUUCAUGUUCGUGUCAAGUAUAAAAAAACACGAUGUCGUGUCGUGUUUUUGUUCAAAAUUCGACACGAAAUUGACACGAUUUAGCAUUUGCCAAUCGUUUUUUUCGUGUUGGUCGUGUUAUGUAUGAUUAAGUAUUAAUUAAAUAAACUAAUUGUUAUAUUAUNGAUUGGUGAAAUUCUUGAAGUUGUCUCAUCGUCUAGUAUUUCCAUCACCAAUCGAGUUGAAGUAGAUUUGAUGAUUGAAGAUACGCAUGGAAGAAGUCCUAGUGGAGUCUAGGAGAAUUUUUAUGAUUAAUUGGACACAUUAGUAUGUCUUAAAUUGUUUUGUGAUUUAGGACUUGGGGGCUGCGAGACAAUACUUGGGACGAGUAUGAGUAGGUGUGAAUGGUAGUAGAGAUCUAUACUAACGGAAGCACAGGACUUGCACUUGGAUCAGGGAAAGUCACAAGGUUACCAAGAAGCUUGUAAUUGAGUUCGUUUUUAUUCAAGCAUGUCAUUACCAUUGUUUCGGUAAUGACUAAAAAGAUGAUUGAUAUUCUGACCCUAGCGGUCAUAUCAAAUUGAGUCCGACUACGAUGAGUUUGUUACGUGGUUCAAAGAACCGAGUUCGAUGUAGCAUUUGACUUAAGUCAGAAGAUUGAAAUGCUACAUGCUAAAAUGUGAUUAUAUCACAUUAGAAUAUGAAGGAAGGUAUAUUCCAUUUUGGAGUUUGACUCUAAGAGACUUGAUUCAAAGCGUUGCAUCAUACGAUGAGAGGUCAUUAGAACAUGACCCAUCGAUCUGUUACAAUAGAUAAGGGGAAGUACUUAUCCUAAGAAGAAGAAGGAGUCCUCAAAAAGGAUUUAUUUUGUAACUCGAAGGUUACGAUUGAAAGUCCAACAUAGUACGAAGAGC